CCUCAGUUGUAUUCAGUCUUGUGUAGAAGGCUGUCAACUUACCCAUAGGCUAUAAGAAAGCAUGAGACCCUGAGGAGUCUUUUCAAAACGGAGGUGGGUUAGCUAUUUGUCUGUUGACGUUUGGUGAUUGGUAAAUUGACAUGAGCUGUCCUCCCCUCAGCAUCCUCCACUGGUUCAGAUGAAUCAUGGUGGAAGUCAGUGGAUGAGCUCCAGGCUAGGAAGCAGCAGGUCACGGAGUUUGAGGUUGUCCAGCAGGCCCUGAACAAGGUGACUGCCUGUUUCCAAAUGGCCACCUCUUUUGGAAGCAACUCUGACGGCAGAUUUCUGAGAUGGACAAGACCAGAGCACUGGCUUACAGAAUCUGCACAGGUUUGCAGACAGCUGGUACCUAUGACAGAGAGGGAGAAUCUGGACACGAAAAAUCAACAGGUGUGGGGGGGUUUAUCCUCACUGGAUUAUAGAAACACCAACAGGACCUGUCAAAGCCAGUGCUGCAAUAGACCUCUUCCCCUUGAAACAAAGGAAUUACCCCUGGCCCCUGGUGAAAACAGGGGCUUCAGACGGAAGGCAUUAUGAACUAAGCAGAGGAUAGAUGUUUAUGGUCAUUAUAUCCAUCUUAGUGAUAUGUCAUAAGCAUUCAAGUUAGUAAUUGAAAAAUAUAUCUAAAUUAAAUAAAGCCAAAUGUUGAGUGGAAAGUAACCAAUAGAGCCACAAUUAACAUACCUAGACAUCUUUAUUCACAUAGAGGUCAUACAAACAAAAAUAUUGUAGAGACAUACCCAGUAUUGAAAUGUACAUAAUUAGAAGCAUAGAAAAACACAGAAAUAAAACACAUGGCAGGAUUGUAGGAGCUUGAAUCAGUUCUUGUAGGUUGUGUUCAAAUGGGCUUUGAAGGCUAAAAAUGAAAAGAAAUCCUUUGUUUAAUACAGUGCAAGUUUGUUUAUCAUACAACUUGACUCAUGACACGAGUAUUAACAGGGUGGGUCCCAAAUUACAUAUAGGCCCUGGUCAGAAGUGCACCAUGUUGGGACACAGACGUGUCCAUAUACUAACCUUCCUGGUUAUCCCAAAGCUCAGCAGCAGCAGUGUUCAAUGGACUCUCAAUGUUGGGCUCUGAAGACAGAGUGUAGUACAAACUUAACAAAUUGGACAGUGUCACACAAACUCUCCAAACAAUAAAUAAAACAGGUGACAACUUGGACAGUGAUUUGAUCGCAGAGCACUGUUAAACCUAGUUGGUUGGGUGAGUUCCAGUCAACUUGAUGAACUGAGUGCCAUUUAUUAAUUUCUGUGGGAAGUGCCUUACCUCCUAAUAAACUCUGGAUGGACAGAAGAAUGGACCGUACGUCGUACAGGGCUGACCAUUUGUCUUUCAAGAUAUCCAGACAGAUGAAGCCCUGAUCAUCGACGUUAGGGUGAAAACAUGGGGUGAUGAACUUCACUCGGGGGGCUUUGUACGGGUAGCCACUGGGGAACUCCAACGACAGCUUGUACCUCAGGCCUUCGUAAACCUAAGAGAAUGAGCGAUGGAAGAUUUGUUAUACUGUCUUUGUGCAAAAGCAUUUCACAGCAAGCGUUUGAAUGUUCAAAGGAGUUAAACCAUAAACCUUGUUCAUAUGGUAUAGGAUUACUGUUCUUAAAAUCUGAGCAACUACUGAGGCUGUACUUUACAUGCUGGAGUAGAAAGUAAACACGACCUACUGUUCCCUGAGCUCCAUCUAUCGUUCCUAUCCACUUAAAAAGGUUGUCAGACUCCGGGAAAGCAGAGAUCCCUUUAUCUCCAGACAUCUACAUGAAGAAAUAAACAGAUCUAAAGGACAUAGCAAUUUUACAAAAUAUGUUUAUAUAUCCAAUUGUGAUUAUAAAAGAGAUGGUCCUACAUGGGGAACACUUACCAUUAGUGUCAUCAGUUCUUGUUGAAGUCUAGGGUGUAAAAAACAAAGAUUCAGAAAUGCCCAAACUUCGUACCCAGACUAGCCUAUGCACCAAUUGUGGCACCAAACAAAUGACACAAUACUGUUUGGCUCCUCCACUUACAUGUUAACGUUACUUUCCUACUAACGCUGGGAACUAAGAUGAGCUUAAUUCUAGAUUAACAAAACUAAAUGUCAAACCUCUUCGUGACUGAGCCCUUUGCUGCACUCCCACCGGUCUCAGUGUCUUUCAGAGCUGCUGUGGACGAGGCGGCUGCAGGGUCCAUAUUUUGAGAGGCCAUACUUCUACUGGAAGAACAAUCGAGAGGACGAUAAUUAGUUAACGUUGGAAACAAAACUACCUUGCUAGUAAACAAAUAUUAGCUACUUAAACACUCAAGUGCACGGCAUUUUGCGUCGCGCCUGCAAGCAACUAACCAGAGUGUUGUCAUGACGUUAGCCAUCUAACGUUACCUGGAUUUUUAAGGUGCCUAGUUAUCCAUUUCAGCUAGCAGGGCAUAGUUAUCGUCAGAAAUGUUUGCAUUGGCUAACGUAGCCCACAUAUAUCCUGGGCUAGGCAUAACACAAUUUACCACGGUUAACUAAUAACACAUGAGGAUGUUUGCUAAUAAUGUUAGCUAGCUCGUUAAACAGUGUUACAGCGCAAAUGCAAGCUACGUUAGCGAGCCAGCUAACGGUUAGCGGAGUGAGUGUUAUCUUGUUGCAGCAGAACAGUGCUAACAGGUUGAAUGACUUCUUUAGCCAGCUAACGUCAGCUAAAUGACCAACUUAAAACAACCAGCCCACCCGCCUCCAACAAAAAUAAGACUCAAAUGUUGCCAUAAUGUAACUUGCCUGAUGUGUCUGUUCUGUCUUCACCAACUCAGUUUUUCUGCUACUGAGAUUUUCAAACUGUGUAGAGAUCCCGCCCCCGUUUAAAUGUUUUUUUUUCUCAAAACCGUGUCACCGCUCUGUUUGCGAACAUGACCAAUCGCAACUUCGUGUUUAAACAAAGCAAAUCCGUAGCAACCAUUUGAAAGAAUGCACCUACUAAAUACUUCGAUGUGAUUGGGUGAAAGAUCAUUCGGAAGUGACAUAUUUGCCAAAUGGUUGGUCCGAAUUCAUUUGUACAGGUCUGUGCUAUUCGGAAUCCUUGGGACGACCCUAAUCUUAACCUGUCUACCCACUGGUAUAUCGUACUGGGGGGGCCAUGCGCCUGUCACCGAUGUCAAAUUGUUUUAAAAUUAAUAAUUCAUUUAAUUUAAUAGUUCAUGACAGUAACCCUCAAAAGUUAUUUUUUCAUAAACCUUUUUUAAAUUCCAUAUAUGUAUUAUUAAGCGAAGUGUUUGUUAUUGGGCUUCAUAGUAUGUCUAAGCCUACCAGCGUUUUUCCCCUGCUUUGCCUUUUCUCCUUUUUCUAGUCCUCCUGGUUUUGACCCUUGCCUGUUCUGGACUCUGUACCUGACCUUGCCUGUUCUGGACUCUGCAUGACCAUUCUGCCUGCCCGAGUGUCAUGAUAGCAGCUCGUAGGGGGUUUUGCCACAUGAACUUUAUCAUUAUUCCAUUUAGAUCUAGGAUCCAAAUUCACAGUGUGUUUGCCUUGAUGUUCAUGAAACUCCAUGGACCCCUCUUGCACAGUGGAACCCAGAAUGAUAUGCGACCACACUAUUCUGCCAGGGACAUCCAAACCUAAGUGGCCGCCGCAAAGCCCAAGGAGCCUGACUCUCUGGAAGUUGCUGUUGCCCUGCUUGGGAUAUUUAGCCUUUAUUGACUAUUGGUUGAGAGGCAGGGCCCGUUCUACAGUAGCUUAGUAUGUCAGGGUGGGGCAAGAUUUAUGUUAACUUUUUUCAAUGUUCAAUUGAUUUGAUAACAUGUUUUAUGCAAAUAAAUUAUAUGAAUUGAU